CCGGCUCAUGCCGAGGGCAGGCACCUCUGUCAGCCUCUUCGCAGUGGUAGUUAUUGUGUGUGGCGUGGCCCUGGUGGCAGUUUUUCUCUUUCUCUUUUGGAAGCUGUGCUGGAUGCCCUGGAGGAACAAGGAGGCCUCCAGUCCUUCCGCUAACGCCCCAUUGGAGGCCCUCCCGAGCCCCAGCUCCAGAGGCAACAUGGCAGACAAGCUGAAGGACCCAAACACCCUGGGCUUCCUGGAGGCGGCCGUGAAGAUCAGCCACACAUCCCCAGAUAUCCCAGCCGAGGUGCAGAUGUCAGUGAAGGAGCACAUCAUGCGUCACACACGGCUGCAGCGACAGACCACAGAGCCGGCGUCAUCUACCAGGCACACAUCCUUCAAGCGCCACCUGCCGCGGCAAAUGCACGUCUCCAGCGUAGACUAUGGCAACGAGCUGCCGCCAGCGGCAGAGCAGCCCACCAGCAUUGGCCGCAUCAAGCCUGAGCUCUACAAGCAGAAGUCGGUGGAUGGCGAUGACGCCAAGUCUGAGGCCGCCAAGAGCUGCGGGAAGCUCAACUUUAGCCUACGCUAUGACUAUGAGAGCGAGACCCUGAUCGUGCGCAUCCUGAAGGCCUUUGACCUCCCUGCCAAGGACUUUUGUGGAAGCUCUGACCCUUAUGUCAAGAUCUACCUCCUGCCCGACCGCAAGUGCAAGCUGCAGACCCGGGUGCACCGCAAGACCCUGAACCCCACCUUCGACGAGAACUUCCACUUCCCUGUGCCCUAUGAGGAGCUGGCUGACCGCAAGCUGCACCUCAGUGUCUUUGACUUCGACCGCUUCUCACGCCAUGAUAUGAUUGGGGAGGUCAUCCUGGACAACCUCUUCGAGGCCUCUGACCUGUCCCGGGAAACCUCCAUCUGGAAGGACAUCCAGUACGCCACGAGUGAGAGCGUGGACCUGGGAGAGAUCAUGUUCUCCCUGUGCUACCUGCCCACAGCGGGCAGGCUCACGCUCACGGUGAUUAAAUGUCGGAACCUCAAGGCCAUGGACAUCACAGGCUACUCAGAUCCCUACGUCAAAGUGUCCCUGCUUUGUGACGGGCGGAGGCUGAAGAAGAAGAAAACAACCAUAAAGAAGAACACCCUCAAUCCUGUCUACAAUGAGGCCAUCAUCUUUGACAUUCCUCCAGAAAACAUGGAUCAAGUCAGCUUGCUCAUCUCGGUUAUGGAUUAUGACCGAGUGGGCCACAAUGAAAUCAUAGGAGUCUGUCGUGUGGGGAUCAAUGCUGAAGGCCUGGGCAGAGACCACUGGAAUGAGAUGCUGGCCUACCCACGGAAGCCCAUCGCACACUGGCACUCCUUAGUGGAGGUAAAGAAGUCCUUCAAAGAGUGGCAAGGCCGAGCUGCCAGCUUUGACAGCGAGAGCUCGUGCCCGUCUCCGAAACCACCUCCGACGCCAUGAGCCGCACGGCCGAGCCACACCCACGGGACUCAGCAAUGCUCCUUUCGCACUCGUUCCACCGUCUACACGCAGUGUUGUGCAGUCACAGCGGCCCCCGCAGCCGUCUGUCACGCCAGAGUCCUAACUGCUCCUGUGUAGGUCAAGGCCGAGACACUUGUUGCGUGGUCAGAUCUGUCUUAGUCUUUUCCGUCUCCUAAGGUGAUGUUUUUGUGGUUUUCACUUUUUAUGGGUCUGCUGUCAAGAAGAAAAAAAAAAAAAAAAAAAGAGUAGGGGAAAAAAAAAAAAAGCAAAGGGUGGAGAGCCCAGAAGUUGGUUCUAUAAAAUAUAAAAUAGCAGUUUCUUCAGAAGAGGCAGAUUGCAUUUCUGAAAUGCUGUGUCUUUACCAAGCUCUCCCGGAGAAGGAGGAAAUGCAGGAGAGCAAUGACUGCAGUUUGAGUGCCUGCAUGAAUGGAGCAGGUCCAUCAAGAGCCUUUCUAAGGCUCACUGUUACUCUGUGAAGCUCUUUGCUGGUGUGACAUAAACCACGAUGUGGACUCCUGGUCCCGUGUUGAAACCACAAGACAGCCAAGGUGUUUGUGAACCUUCAGCUGGUGUGCAGGGCUCCUGGUUCCCUUUCGUGUUGACUUUCCUCAUGAAUUGAAAGUGUCUUGAUUCCUCAUGGGAACUUAGUCACUUUCUCUAGGAGUGAUUCUGCUGAAACCGAACAUGCCAAAUGUUUUCUGACGCGCCACAGUUAAUGAUCAUGUUUGUUUGAAAACAGGAUCUUUGUUCUCGAAAAUAACCUCCAUUGUCAAGAAAGAGAGGCACAUGUGUUCCAGGAUGAUUUGUGCAUUCUACGUAGCUUUGUAAUUCCGGGAAGUAACAAGCAGCUGUUUAAAAUGCCUAACCAGGUCAAAGAAAAACCUAGAUGAAAUGUUCUUCUCUGAAUGGGGAGUUCUGAAGUUCAAAUCACAGCCCGAGUCCAUCUUUCCAUACAGAGUAACUUCUUGAUUGAAACCAAGUCAGCUUAGGCCCAUUUCAGCCCUAGACGCUGGGACAAUUGUCGUCUUAAACUUUAGUCCUGUCAAUGACUAGGUACUCUCGUGUCGUUUGUCUCCGUGGUAGUGAGGGGUUUUUGUUUUGUUUUCCUUUAGAUCUCUCCCUUAGACCAAAUUCAACUUAGGAAGAAAAAAAAAAAAGUGCUUGAACUGUUCCUUAUGAUCACGGCACACUUCUGUGGAGGUAAUAGCGGCCCUCCCGUCACCCCCUGUAGGUAGGUUGCUUUGCUGGGUCUUAGUCUGUACAGCCCUGGUAAGUGCGUGCAGGUGAGUUUCCGCUUCCACUUGUGACUCCGCAGGCCAAUGUCCAGAGCUGUGUGUACCACUGGCAAGAGGCAAGUCUGCCGAAGAACUCCUCCUCUCUGCAUUGGAAGGCCAAGAACAUACACACUGUCACACGCUUGGUGUCUUCUUCAUGCGUCACGUGCGAUAGGAGCAGUAUCUCAAUAAAGGAGCCCCAUUUUAAGUCACAUGAUCAGGUUUCUCCACUGAUAAAACUUUGGGCGAUGUCUUCAGGCCCUCAGAAUGAUCACUGCGCAUGAGCUUACAGGAGAUUGUGCCAAAAGAAAUUUUCCACUUAGAAAAGUAAACAUAGAUAAACCGCAGGCUUGACUCUGUACUAAGCCUUAGGCUUGGGACUAAUGUGUAAAGGUACCUUUUCUCCCCAGAUGUCUUGUGAUUGAUAGGUCUUCCUACACCUACAGUCCUGCAUUUAGAUGUUCUCUUGAGACUGAGAAAAACUCAAGGUCCUGACCAGACUCGCAGCAGGACAGACCUCGCUAUGUUUCUUGACUGGAGCCUGACCUCAUCGGGAUGGCUCUCUCCAUCACAGAGAGACGCAGUGGGUCUCACACCUGUGAAGGGAACAGCUGAGUCUCCUGGGUCGCAAGGAGCCCAGAAAUGAGCGUGAGCAGGUCUUUGCAGAAGUGAGCACCAAAUGCAUGUCCAGCGGCCGUUGGUGAGUCCCUAGGCAAGUAGAGAUAACCUAUCCUAGCCUAUUGGAGAAGGGAGAGUGACCAGUGUGAACGGUAAAAUAUUACUGCCGGUCUGAGAGAUUCCUCUUAUAUCAAGCAGCUAGCUCACACAAGUGAACACCUCAGUGGUUUCAAAAAAUCAUUUUCUGAACAGAUGAUGACCAGCCCCCAUGACCCCCUAACCAUGGCUCCCACUCCUGCUCCAGCAGUUUCCAUAAAUCCCUGCAGGUUUGGGGCCCCACUGCAAGAAGGCUCUGAGCUCCCAGGGCCUCACCCACAGGAUCCUCAGAGGAGACGAGUCCUCAGCCUGAAGCAUGAGUGACAUCUGAAUAUCCCCCAACUUCAUUAUCUAACCCAGAAUCUCUCCUUCACAGAUGAGAAUAAAAUGAAAUACAAGUUUUGGAAUAAAGUGAAAUACCACGUUGAUUCAUUUGUUGGCUUCCUUUGGCACAUGAAGCCUCUUGGGUGGUUGUUGAGAGCUUUGCUGAAGUUGCAAUAACCAGAGCCAUUUGCACAUAGACUUUAAAAAAAAAAAAAAUGAAGUUCCCUUCUCCUUUAUUUAGCAGUGUUUCUGAGCUAAAAAGAUGUCCCCUUCCCCUCUGCGCUUACCCAGGAUGUUAAUUAAUUGCAUCGUCAUUUUAAAAAUUAUGUUGUUAAUUACUGCUCUGUGUCUUCCCGCCCCUGUCACAGCCUGGAGUUUUUAUUCAAUUAAAUCUCUGUCUCU